rnacentral:rRNA from 1 species
UUUAUUGGAGAGUUUGAUCCUGGCUCAGGAUGAACGCUGGCGGCGUGCCUAAUACAUGCAAGUCGAGCGAAUGGAUUAAGAGCUUGCUCUUAUGAAGUUAGCGGCGGACGGGUGAGUAACACGUGGGUAACCUGCCCAUAAGACUGGGAUAACUCCGGGAAACCGGGGCUAAUACCGGAUAACAUUUUGAACUGCAUGGUUCGAAAUUGAAAGGCGGCUUCGGCUGUCACUUAUGGAUGGACCCGCGUCGCAUUAGCUAGUUGGUGAGGUAACGGCUCAC